ensembl:lncRNA
UAUAAACAAGGAGAAGGAGGACAUAUCUUAUUAUUUUUUGUAUGGAUCGAUUAUUUAAUCAAUAAUAAAAAAAAAAAAUGUGAUGCAUAUGAACAAGCACUUGAAUACACCAAGAGCAUGUUUUAAUUUCUGAAUCAACAUUAAACUUAUUUUUAUAUUUAUGAAAAAAAAUAAAAUAAAAUCAGGGUAAAAAAAAAAUUCAGGGUGAAACAAAGGCCAGAUACCAUGAUCAAGAAAAUAAGGCCAUAAAAUCUUUUACAAACAAUUAAACUUCACUAAAGUAGUUUUAAUUUCAUGAUAUUUUUUCUAAGAAAAAUUAAAAUCAAUUAAAAAGUUUUGUUAAUACAUUAUAAACAUUUAAAAAUCUUUGCCCACUAAAUCAAGGUUGUGUCAUGCCACCAAAAAGCGGAAACAUGCAGGGAAAAUAAAUAAAUAAAUAAAAUGUGCAGUCGCUUUCAUAUGCAUUUCAUUUUUUCCGCUUUCAUUUUCGCUUCAAUCAAUCAUGUUCAGCAGGGAAGGGGGGCUGUCCGUAAAGGUUUGACUUCAAUCCUACCAGCUGAAAAGUCAAAACUGCUUAAAACAAACAAACUACACCAUUUUGACCAACUCAGUGGCCAGCCAAGACCAGCAAAUCACCUUAUGUUGUUUUUUUUUGUUGUUGUUGUUGUUGUUGUUUCCUCAACAGGGCUGUCAAAAGCACUCACACUGUGGUGGUGAGAGCCUUUACAAACUAUCUAUAAUGAGUUUUAAUGCUGAGGGCUAUGAACUGUGUCUUCUGUGGGUGUUUUACCUGUGUUUGCAUCUCCAUUCGAGCAUACUGGAGUAGCAAAGGCUCUCCAUGCUUCUGCAGGAAGUCUCUCUGACAGCGCUCUGCCACCGCCGGUUCGUUGGGAAGAAAAUUACUGGCUCAAACCUGGAGAGAGAAACGGGAAUAGCACAAAGAUGUGAACCUGUGUGGGUAGUCUCACUAAUCAGACUCUGUUGACACAGAAAAAAAACUUAAGAACUGCUUUCUGGGACAAAACAACAUUUCGGCCUCAAAUAAUCAUAAAAAAAUAAUAAUAAUAAUAAUCCCUUCCAGCUAUAAAAAUAACUAGAACCGCAAAGCAGGUCUGUAUUUAACGUAUGCAAAUUGAUAGCAAAUUAUGUGGCCAUGGAAGCAUGGAGAGCACGGAAACACAUCCAAUUAUACUUCUCAAUGAGUGGAGUUGGUACUUGGCGAUAACACUUCUCCCAUCUUUAGCCUCGUAGAGAUGAUUUAGGGAAAGCAAUUGGAAAAGACACUUUAAAACAUUCAUCUUUCCAGCCGCCAAAGACACCCUGCGCUGCCCAGAGAGAGUUCUGACACCGUAUCCCAUACAUCUUCAACAAAAAAGGCUGCUGAGAGAGAUUCUGUUUCUCCAAUACUUCCCACAAGAGCUCUCCACAAACGUUUCUUCCUGAGGAAAGAGACUUGGUCAUUACUCACUCCUGAGACAAAUGCGAUUUUCUGCAAAGUGAUGUCGAGUUUUUGGGCGCUCAAUUUUAGCUAUUUAAAGCAGUGUCACACACACACACACACACACACACACACGGAUGACUCUCUCAAGGGUUUUUACCAUGAAUUUACCACUAAUUAUUUUGCAGUUAAUUCCAAUUCAUAAAACUUUGGAAGCAGUAUGUAAGCAGUAAAUAAGGGGAUAGUGUAGUAUUUCAGAUGGAUUUUCCAAGUCUGCACUGUAAAAAAUGGAGUGUAAUCUUAACAGUAAAAUAUUGCAAAAAUGCUAAGAAAAAAAAAAGUGAAUAGGAAACCAGUAAGUUCCUGUACUAUAUAGAGGGAAAACUGUUAAAGAUCUAACGAGACAUUUCAUGUAAUUUUACAGUAAAAUGCUGUUAAAGGAUUAGUUUACUUCCAGUAUUACUUCCAGUUCCAUCUUGGAUGACAUGAGGGUAAGGAAAUUUGUAUUCAGAAAGUGAACUAAUCCUUUAAUUAUUCAGUUUUUAGAAGUAAAAAGAAAAAAAACAAAUCAACGAAUAAUUAACAGUCAAAAACUGCAAUCUGACAUUCCCAGAAUUCCCUGCAUGAC